rnacentral:misc_RNA from 1 species
GAAAAUUUACAAAAUUUAUACAUGAAUGUGAGUUCCCUGCCUUUCUCAAAGGCUAUGUAAUCUCAAUAAUACACAAUUACAAAAGAUAUGGGAAGCACAAUCUACCCGUAGUCAAAAAUUUGGCAGAUAUCAAACUCAUCCUUAUUUGUCUAGGCAUCUAUAUGUAUGUGAUGGUUACUAUAAAUAUUAAAUCUCAAGCAAAACUUCCGCUUCUAACGUGCCUCACCGACGUUGAGGAUAACUACUUUGAAGGCAAAAAAGUGCUUUACAAUCAUAAGCUCGUCAGCCACUUGAGGCAUCAUUAUCGCUAUCUCCACUCUCAUCACUGUGUUCAGGGAGCUUGGCUAUUCGUCUAGCAUCCAAUCCUGUAAUAAACUUCUGUGCAGCUUGAACAUUUUCUGUACCUUUUGCCAAUUGAAAGGCAUGCAGGGCACAUCUCUCUGCAGCAAGUCUCACGGGUGUGUUUCCAUCCUUCAAACAGUCAGCCAGUACAGGGCCAAAUUUUGAAACAUGGAUGGCAAUGGCACCAGGAUUGGCUUUUGAAACUGCCUUCAAUGCAGAUAAGGCCCGUCUUCUGACUUCACUUGAAUCAUCCUGCAUAGCCAACACAAUGGAUCCCAGUGUUUCCACAUGUGAAGUCGCAUUUGAGGGAUCACUCUGAAUUUGUUGACAUAAAAGCAAUCCCAAAGCUCUCGUUGAUGUUUCACGAACAGGAAACUUUUCAUCAUUUAAGGUGAUUUUGAGGCACUUUACAAUCAAUGGGAAUGACGAAGAAGCACAAAUUAUAUCAGGAUUGUGCUUAAGCAUUGAACAAAUAGUAAGUACUGCUCCAUGCCUUGAGAACCAGUUAGAUGAUGAAGCUGAUUUUGACAGCCCAUCAAGUAAUUCAACAACUUGUCCAUCUUCCAGGUACUGUGAAACAAUUCCCAGUAUACUUGCAGCAGAAUUUCUUAUCUGGUCAUCAUCAUUGUGUAUUAGAUCCUUCAGUAGGGUGUAGACACGUGUUCUAGAAGCAGAGCUGACACUUUCACCAGCAUGCUUAAUCACACCUUUCAAAGCAGUUAGAGUAGCCUCACGAAUUCCCGUAUCUGAUGUCUGCACACCAGAUAACAGAUCACCAACUAAAGGAUCAACCCUGGUACUGAGAGCACUAAGCUUCCCAAGCGCAAGAGCAGCGCUUGAUCGUAUUGUCCUUGUAUUAUCCUGUAGGCACUUGACA